rnacentral:rRNA from 1 species
UCGGGAAUUUUGGGCAAUGGGGGAAACCCUGACCCAGCAACGCCGCGUGAAGGAUGAAGUAUUUCGGUAUGUAAACUUCGAAAGAAUAGGAAGAAUAAAUGACGGUACUAAUUUAUAAGGUCCGGCUAACUACGUGCCAGCAGCCGCGGUAAUACGUAGGGACCAAGCGUUGUUCGGAUUUACUGGGCGUAAAGGGCGCGUAGGCGGCAUGACAAGUCACUUGUGAAAUCUCUGGGCUUAACCCAGAACGGCCAAGUGAUACUGUCGCGCUAGAGUGCAGAAGGGGCAAUCGGAAUUCUUGGUGUAGCGGUGAAAUGCGUAGAUAUCAAGAGGAACACCUGAGGUGAAGACGGGUUGCUGGGCUGACACUGACGCUGAGGCGCGAAAGCCAGGGGAGCAAA